AGAGCGAACGCUGGCGGCAGGCCUAACACAUGCAAGUCGAGCGGGCGUAGCAAUACGUCAGCGGCAGACGGGUGAGUAACGCGUGGGAACGUACCUUUUGGUUCGGAACAACACAGGGAAACUUGUGCUAAUACCGGAUAAGCCCUUACGGGGAAAGAUUUAUCGCCAAAGGAUCGGCCCGCGUCUGAUUAGCUAGUUGGUGAGGUAACGGCUCACCAAGGCGACGAUCAGUAGCUGGUCUGAGAGGAUGAUCAGCCUCACUGGGACUGAGACACGGCCCAGACUCCUACGGGAGGCAGCAGUGGGGAAUAUUGGACAAUGGGCGCAAGCCUGAUCCAGCCAUGCCGCGUGGAUGAUGAAGGCCCUAGGGUUGUAAAGUCCUUUCGGCGGGGAAGAUAAUGACGGUACCGCAGAAGAAGCCCGGCUAACUUCGUGCCAGCAGCCGC
rnacentral:rRNA from 1 species